ensembl:lncRNA
UUCAAAGUGUAAAGGGGUUUGUCUGUGACUUUAUCAAUAUUUCACUGAAUCUGCUCCAGACAAGGAAGUAUAGCACUUCAUUGGACACGUGUCACUGGCAAAGUUCUCCAAGUUACGUGUCGUUAAGCAACCCAAGGAUGAGCCUACACGUGUGGUAUAUGUUGGUUCUGUUUCUCUGUCCAAGCACUAAAGAGGCGGUCGUCGACAAAAACAGACUAACAAGAUGGCACUCCUAUAAGAUGGAAAAGGGACAAAACAUUAUCCGAAACCUUAAAAGGCAUUCAGAAGGGACCUUCGCCAGCGACUUCACCCACUAUCUUGAUAAGAUUAAGGCAAAAGAUUUUGUGGAGUGGCUGGCCAGCACCAAACGAGAAAGGUGUCAUGAUGAACUUUUAAAACAGCCCAGGUUGCCUGUGUUGAACGCUUGAUCCUGCUUUACGCCAUGCGGCAUGAAAGACGAUGAAUCCUCCCCAAUAACAGAAAAUAUUGGUCAGUUUCUUUUCUUCUAUUUUUCUUUGAAUAAAAAGUGCAUUUCCUACUUUGCUGUUCCCACAUAACCAAUAAAGUGAAGAGAAGUGAUCAAGAUAUAA